CGGUGUAGGGUGUGUGAACGCGCCGGUAUUCACUUUUAUAAAGAGAACCCGACAGAGAAACGAAAGGAAAAAAAAGACACUUUCGCUUAACAGAAGCAAGUUCUUCAAACUAAAAGAGGAAACUAAAACCCAAUGAAGUGAUUUUGAAUCUUUGUUAAACAGUCUUACCUGUGAUAAUAAUUUCUAAGGAAAAUAAAAAUGGAUAGUCCAAAUUAUCUAUCUGAUGACACUGGGACAGACACGGAAGAUAUCAUUAGAAGAGAGGUGCCCGUGACUCUGGCAAUGUCAAGUAUGAACAGCGGAGGAGGGCAUCAUCACCAGUUCCAGCAGCAGCAGCAGCAGCAACACCAGCCCCAGCAUCACCAACCACAACAUCACCAACCACAGCAUCAGCAGCAGCAUCAGGCCGUCCAUAUCCAUGCCCAUGCCCACGCCAGAGGCCCUUCAUCCAUGAUGUGUGCCACACCCACCCAACCUCACCACACACACCACCUCAAUACCAGCCAUGUGCAGACGUCGCCACACCAGAUGAGUGGUGCCAGUGGCGGCACAUAUGGCAACGUUCCACGCCUCCAUCACUGCAAUGUGCACUCCUUCCUUUGUUCCAAUCCACCUCUCCAUCAUCAGUACCAGGUCAACUUCCAGAUGAAUGGAGGAUGCCUUGGGCCCCAGCACCACUACGCCCCUAUGGUGCCCCCGGGGCAUCAUGCGGCCGGCCCUCUCCUGGCCCCACCUGGAACCCCCCAGCUGAUGGCUGCCACACCUCAGCCCCCUCAUACUCACACCUCCCUGUACAGCCAGGCCCCCAUGGGAGUGGCUCCUCCUCAGGCCGUGCCCACCCAACUCACCGCUGUUCCUGGACAGCUUUCGGCCGCACCACAGAGUCUUGGGGUGGGAGUACCCCCCCAGUUACCCCCCCAGCACCACCACCAUGCCCACCAACAACCAACGCCUCCUCUGGUUACCCCCUUCCCUGCUCAUACUCACCUGCAUCAACUUCAUCACUUACAUGCCAGCAGUGGGAGUGGUGGAGGAGCACGGGGAGCAAGUGUUGACAUGUUGGGCCGUGGCCUUUAUCGAGGACCUGGACAAGGCCAUGUCUUGGGCCGAAUGAGAGGACCACGAGGAAGCAGUGGGAGCAGUUUGGGAAGCACCAGACGCAGCAGUUCCAGCUGGCGAGGGAACACCAUGCCUCCAGCAGCCCCUCCACCUCCACCCCCUCCUCCACUUCCCAGUGCUGCUGCUGCGGCGGCUACUUACCCUGGCAUUCUCUUACAUUUCUUGGCAAUGUUGUCGCAUCCAUCACUACACCAGUACAGUAUGGUAGACCCAGUGCCAGCAGAAGCCCCCGACACGGAGAACUACGAGGCUUUACUACACCUGGCAGAGAGGCUGGGUGAGGCCAAACCUAGAGGCCUUUUGAAAACAGUGAUUGACCAACUCCCGUCCUAUAGGUAUACAGGGGAGAAGUCUGACACUAAACAAACCACAUGUGUGAUUUGCAUGUGUGACUUCGAGCUUCGGCAGAUGUUACGAGUAUUACCGUGUCUCCAUGAGUUCCACACCAAAUGCGUCGACAAGUGGCUCAAGACUGUGGUCAGUACCAUGCAGUUGAGUCCCUUCACUGUGGGUGGUGCCGCGCAGUUGGUACCUGUGACUGUGUUCGGUGCCCAGCGGUUGGUACCCUUGACUGUACCCCGAGCUAACCAGUCCGUGUGUCUUGCAUGAGCAGGAGGGUGGCGUGCCUUGUGCCGUGUACCACUGCUGGCUGCUUGCAUGCUUGCAGUAUCAUGAUGAUGGCCUUUUUGGUGCCUGCAGUCUAACCGGACUUGUCCUAUUUGCCGUGGAGAUGCCAGCGAAUUUCUUAAAGAGGCCGCCAGUGCUGAGUGAAGCAGGUUGAAAAAAGAGAAGCAAAAAACAGAGAGAUAGAAAAGAAAAAAAGAAA
rnacentral:misc_RNA from 1 species